GAUGAACGCUGGCGGCGUGCCUAAUACAUGCAAGUCGAGCGAAUGGAUUAAGAGCUUGCUCUUAUGAAGUUAGCGGCGGACGGGUGAGUAACACGUGGGUAACCUGCCCAUAAGACUGGGAUAACUCCGGGAAACCGGGGCUAAUACCGGAUAACAUUUUGAACCGCAUGGUUCGAAAUUGAAAGGCGGCUUCGGCUGUCACUUAUGGAUGGACCCGCGUCGCAUUAGCUAGUUGGGGAGGUAACGGCUCACCAAGGGAACGAUGCGUAGCCGACAUGAGAGGGUGAUCGGCCACACUGGGACUGAGACACGGCCCAGACUCCUACGGGAGGCAGCAGUAGGGAAUCUUCCGCAAUGGACGAAAGUCUGACGGAGCAACGCCGCGUGAGUGAGGAAGGCUUUCGGGUCGUAAAACUCUGUUGUUAGGGAAGAACAAGUGCUAGUUGAAUAAGCUGGCACCUUGACGGUACCUAACCAGAAAGCCACGGCUAACUACGUGCCAGCAGCCGCGGUAA
rnacentral:rRNA from 1 species